GAUUCCCUGAGUAACGGCGAGCGAAAGGGGAAAUGUCCAGCGCCAAGUCUUGACACACAAGUGUUCAAGAGAUGCGGCGUUUAUGUGUUGGUGUUUCUUGCACUGUUUUUUGUUUCAAGUUCCUUUGACAGGGACAUCCAGAGCGGGUGCUAGGCCCAUAGAAACAAGAAACCGGUGUAGGCCGUCCAUCACAUUCUAGAGUCAGGUUGCUUGAGAGUGCAGCUUAAAGUCGGUGGUAAACUCCAUCCAAGACUAAAUAUGACAGCGAGACCGAUAGCAAACAAGUACCGUGAGGGAAAGUUGCAAAGCACUUUGAAGAGAGAGUUCAAUAGUACGUGAAACCAUUGGCAGGCAAACAGAUGGAACCACGAAGUUGCGUUUCGGUCGAUUCAAUCACCGACAGCAGUCGAUUUUAAACGUAAUUGGAAUUUAUUUAUAAGUUCAUACGUUGAUUUCGUGGCACUGCUGGGGCGGUGGUGCAUUUCGAACCGAAAAUGCUAAGCCACGUACAAUUAGAAAUUGGGACGGCCGUAGGAAAGGAUUGAAAAAAGGUGACCGUCAAAUGCUUGCAUUUGAUGGUGUUAUAGUUUUCAAUCGGUACCGUCACCUAAUAUGCUAAUUGUCAUAAGUUCUCCUUCGGGAGUGUUAGCUAUAAUUAGUCAAUAUAUCAGAAUAAGUCAAUGUUUGGCAACGUUGUUUGCGUAUCAUUUCGGUGCGAAAAAACUUUGCUUCAAUACGAUUGGCUACUGAUUGUAUUGGUACUGAUGUAGUAUAACUGUGGUGCGAGUAGGUCGGUUUCCAUCUGACCCGUCUUGAAACACGGACCAAGGAGCCUAUCAUAUACGCAAGUCGCUCGGUCUUGUUUAGGCCAGAGAGGCGAAAUGAAAGUAAAUUUACUACGAUACGAUGGCUGUAGUGGCUCGCUUAUUACGUUUUUUUGGCGUUAUAGCGAAGCUGGAGCGUAUACGAUGGUACCCGAAAGAUGGUGAACUAUGCCUGGGCAAGAUGAAGCCAGAGGAAACUCUGGUGGAGGUCUGUAGCGAUUCUGACGUGCAAAUCGAUCGUCAGACCUGGGUAUAGGGGCGAAAGACUAAUCGAACCAUCUAGUAGCUGGUUCCCUCCGAAGUUUCCCUCAGGAUAGCAGGCGCUGAUAAACAGUCUCAUCCGGUAAAGCUAAUGAUUAGAGGUCUUGGGGUUGAAACGACCUCAACCUAUUCUCAAACUUUAAAUGGGUGAAAUGAUUGACUUGCUUGAAUUAGUCAUAAUUUAUUAUGGCUUAACUUCGAAGCCAAUCGUUGGAUGAACAGUGCCUAGUGGGCCAGCUUUGGUAAGCAGAACUGGCGCUGUGGGAUGAACCAAACGUCGAGAUAAGGCAUCAAAUGCACACGCUCAUUAGAUCCCAUGAAAGGUGUUGGUUGCUAUAGACAGCAGGACGGUGGCCAUGGAAGUCGGAAUCC
rnacentral:rRNA from 1 species